rnacentral:rRNA from 1 species
AGGCUAAUACCGCAUAAUACCCACGGGUCAAAGGAGCAAUUCGCUUGAGGAGGAGGUCGCGGCCGAUUAGUUAGUUGCGGGGUAAUGGCCCCACCAAGACGGUGAUCGGUAUCCGGCCUGAGAGGGCGCACGGACACACUGGAACUGAAACACGGUCCAGACUCCUACGGGAGGCAGCAGUGGGGAAUUUUGCGCAAUGGGGGAAACCCUGACGCAGCAACGCCGCGUGGAGGAUGAAGUCUCUUGGGACGUAAACUCCUUUCGAUCGGGACGAUUAUGACGGUACCGGAAGAAGAAGCCCCGGCUAACUUCGUG